GAUAAAUACGUGGUUAAAUGAACAUUGAAGAAGGAAAGCAGCAACAAAGAAGCUCUCAGACGAACAGACAGGACAGAGUCAGGAAAGAACAGAGUGCUCCUAUAAUGGUACUCUAAAGCUGCUUUGAAUUUUCAAACCACUUUAAUUGCACUUUGAGUAUCUAAGCAAACCUGAUCUCCAGAUACAGACAGAGCUUUCCAGGGACAACUAUGUCAUUAAAAAAUUCUGAGCCCUCAGUGAUGGAGUAGGAGUGGAGCAUUCUGAGCCUGUGAGCAAACUGUGUGAAUUCAAGGUCAGUAUCUCCAUAGCUCACUCCAAGAAUGCAGAAUGGAAUUUAGGCCAGCCAGUCUGGUGUUACCCACUGUGGUACCAGAAAUUU